UAGAAUGCAGUCGAACGGGCUGUUUAUGCAGCCAGUGGCGGACGGGUGAGUAACACGUAGGUGACCUACCCCAAAGUCUGGGACAACUAGGAGAAAUCUUAGCUAAUCCUGGAUGUGGACAUCUACUUUGGUGGAUGUUUAAAGCUUCGGCGCUUUGGGAUGGGCCUGCGGCGCAUCAGGUAGUUGGUGGGGUAAUGGCCUACCAAGCCGACGACGCGUAGCUGGUCUGAGAGGACGAUCAGCCACAGGGGUACUGAGACACGGACCCCACUCCUACGGGAGGCAGCAGUUAGGAAUCUUCCGCAAUGGGCGAAAGCCUGACGGAGCGAUACCGCUUGAAGGACGAAGCCCUUCGGGGUGUAAACUUCUGAACUCGGGACGAUAAUGACGGUACCGAGGUAAUAGCACCGGCUAACUCCGUGCCAGCAGCCGCGGUAAUACGGAGGGUGCGAGCGUUACCCGGAUUUACUGGGUGUAAAGGGCGUGUAGGCGGUCUCUCAAGUCCGAUGCUAAAGACCGAAGCUCAACUUCGGGGGUGCGUUGGAUACUGUGAGGCUAGACGGUCGGAGAGGGUAGCGGAAUUUCCGGAGUAGCGGUGAAAUGCGCAGAUACCGGAAGGAACGCCAAUAGCGAAAGCAGCUACCUGGACGAUUUGUGACGCUGAGGCGCGAAAGCGUGGGGAGCAAACCGGAUUAGAUACCCGGGUAGUCCACGCCCUAAACGAUGAGUGCUGGGUGUCCGACAUCUGUUGGGUGCCGUAGCUAACGCGUUAAGCACUCCACCUGGGAAGUACGGUCGCAAGACUGAAACUCAAAGGAAUUGACGG
rnacentral:rRNA from 1 species